rnacentral:rRNA from 1 species
CCAAUAGCGUAUAUUAAAGUUGUUGCAGUUAAAAAGCUCGUAGUUGAAUUUCGGGAUCAGUACGCUGGUCGUGCCUUCGGUAUGUACUGGUGUUACUGGUUCCUACCUUCUGACGAACCGUCAUGUCAUUAAUUUGGUGUGGCGGGGAAUCAGGACUGUUACUUUGAAAAAAUUAGAGUGUUUAAAGCAGGCUCGCGCUUGAAUACAUUAGCAUGGAAUAAUGAAAUAGGACGUUCGAUCCUAUUUUGUUGGUUUCUAGGAUUGACGUAAUGAUUAAUAGGGAUAGUUGGGGGCAUUAGUAUUCAAUUGUCAGAGGUGAAAUUCUUGGAUUUAUUGAAGACUAACUACUGCGAAAGCAUUUGCCAAGGAUGUUUUCAUUAAUCAAGAACGAAAGUUAGGGGAUCGAAGACGAUCAGAUACCGUCGUAGUCUUAACCAUAAACUAUGCCGACUAGGGAUCGGAUGAUGUUAAUUUUUUUAAUGACUCAUUCGGCGCCUUACG